GCUUCCACUCCGGGGUGUCGCGGCGUCUGCAACAGGCCACGCGGCUGAGAUGGCGCAGCGCCAAACCCGUUCAACUUGAUCCGGCUCAUACCGGCGUAAGGAGAAGAGGGCAUUUCAUCC
rnacentral:ncRNA from 2 species